UCUAUUUGUAGCUCAUGCAGUUGGUUAUAGCGCUGCACUGGAAUCGCAGGACCGCAAGUUCGAUUCCUGCCAGAGAA